CCUGCACAUGCCAUCUCCAACCCUGACUUCUAGUGUGGUCCAUUUGCUAUCUCCAAGACAUCCUGUCUCCCCAGAAAAUGGAGAUAGUAACUUCCUGACAUGUGAAUUGAGAUCUCUCCCCUCCCAAGUGCAGCUCAGGGUGUUUAGCAGUUUGAACUGGAUGGAGCUGCGCUGAAUCGAAUGAAACGAGGUUUAUCCUGUGUUGUUGGCUCUCCUAAUGAAAAAUAAAAUAAUCAUCAGAAAGCAUUUUAGAAAUCAGGCUACUUUCAGCAAUUAUAUCCAUCCAUCCAGACACAUGCCUGAAUGAUAUCAUGUGCUGAAUAAAUAGAUAUUGUAAUUUUGUUAUAAGAAUAUAUAAUUGACCUGAAAAUACUGUCAGACACUUAGGUAAUAAUGUCUGUAUGUGUGUGUGUGCUCAUGUGUGUGUGUGUGUGCUCGUGUGUGUGUGUGUGUGUACAGGAGGAAUAAAGGAAAUAGGGUCACUGAGACCCCCACACAUGUGAUCAGAAGUCAAGUGUGAUACCAAGAAAGUUUAGCUGCUGCAACAUUUAAUAGUAUUUGUUAACAGCAGCUGGUAAUUGUGGGCCAUAGAAGAUGGAUGCCCCCAAUCUGGGCUAAAGGUAACUUUACCUCUUUUGGCAAUCAAGAAGGGACUCAGUGUAACUAAAACAGACAGGAAUCUUACAAACUCCUUACCCUUCUUUCAUUUAUUUAUUCAACAGCUUUGAGCAAUAUGUAUAGAGACAUAUACAUAUAUAAAUAUCCUUUGGUCAUGGUUUAGAUGUGAAUUUUGGAGCCAGGCUGACUGAUCCUGAAUCCCUGUGUUAGCCUUUCCUAGUCAGGUGUCCUUGAAUUCUCAUCUCUAGAAUGGUUGUUGAAAGGAGGCUCAAAUAACGUUUGUACCUGAGUUUUGCCAUAUGUAUGUGGCUGAAAAAAAUGGUGGUCUAUUGCUUUCAGCAAGAAAUUACCUCCAAAACCUUCUACUGAUAAAAGCCAAGGACACCACGACACACAUUGCUUUUUCAAAACUGGGACCAAAACUGCUUCAGAUUUUACUUGCAUACACGUGAGUUCUAAAAUACCUUUUAUACUUACUUUUAAAUAUCUGUGUACCAUCCAGCAAAGGCCACCCUGCAGCAUCCACGAGUAGUCACAGGACAACUUGCAGGAGUUGGCUUUCCCUUUCCAUCACAUGGAUCCGGGCAUCAAACUCAAGUCAUCAAGACUGGAAGCAAGUACCUGAUUGUAGAAUUGAAAAUCAGAGCCGGGCGUGGUGGCGCAUGCCUUUAAUCCCAGCACUUGAGAGGCAGAGGCAGGCGGAUUUCUGAGUUCGAGGCCAGCCUGGUCUACAAAGUGAGUUCCAGGACAGCCAGGGCUAUACAGAGAAACCCUGUCUUGAAAAACCAAAAAAAAAAAAAAAAAAAAAAAAGAAUUUAAAAGAAUUGAAAAUCAACCCAACUAAGAAACACACACACACACACACACACACACACACACACACACACACACACACACGUGCAGGCUGGAAAGAUGGUUCAGUGAUUAAGAGUAAAGAUUGCUCUUUCAGAGAUCCUAAGUUCUAUGCUCAGCACCCAUACAGCAGCUCACAACCAUCUGUGACUCCUCUUCCAGGAGAUCCAACAUCUUCUUCUGGCCUCUGAGGACACCAUUCACACAGACAUAU
rnacentral:lncRNA from 1 species